GCCCCUAUGGCGUAGUGGUAGCGCGUGUCACUUGUAAAACUUACAGAAAUGACAAGGUCUCUCGUUCGAUCCGGGAUGGGGGCA
rnacentral:tRNA from 1 species